AUUGAACGCUGGCGGCAGGCCUAACACAUGCAAGUCGAACGGUAACAGGAAGAAGCUUGCUUCUUUGCUGACGAGUGGCGGACGGGUGAGUAAUGUCUGGGAAACUGCCUGAUGGAGGGGGAUAACUACUGGAAACGGUAGCUAAUACCGCAUAACGUCGCAAGACCAAAGAGGGGGACCUUCGGGCCUCUUGCCAUCGGAUGUGCCCAGAUGGGAUUAGCUUGUUGGUGGGGUAACGGCUCACCAAGGCGACGAUCCCUAGCUGGUCUGAGAGGAUGACCAGCCACACUGGAACUGAGACACGGUCCAGACUCCUACGGGAGGCAGCAGUGGGGAAUAUUGCACAAUGGGCGCAAGCCUGAUGCAGCCAUGCCGCGUGUAUGAAGAAGGCCUUCGGGUUGUAAAGUACUUUCAGCGGGGAGGAAGGGAGUAAAGUUAAUACCUUUGCUCAUUGACGUUACCCGCAGAAGAAGCACCGGCUAACUUCCGUGCCAGCAGCCGCGGUAACACGGAGGGUGCAAGCGUUAAUCGGAAUUACUGGGCGUAAAGCGCACGCAGGCGGUUUGUUAAGUCAGAUGUGAAAUCCCCGGGCUCAACCUGGGAACUGCAUCUGAUACUGGCAAGCUUGAGUCUCGUAGAGGGGGGUAGAAUUCCAGGUGUAGCGGUGAAAUGCGUAGAGAUCUGGAGGAAUACCGGUGGCGAAGGCGGCCCCCUGGACGAAGACUGACGCUCAGGUGCGAAAGCGUGGGGGAGCAAACAGGAUUAGAUACCCUGGUAGUCCACGCCGUAAACGAUGUCGACUUGGAGGUUGUGCCCUUGAGGCGUGGCUUCCGGAGCUAACGCGUUAAGUCACCGCCUGGGGAGUACGGCCGCAAGGUUAAAACUCAAAUGAAUUGACGGGGGCCCGCACAAGCGGUGGAGCAUGUGGUUUAAUUCGAUGCAACCGCGAAGAACCUUACCUGGUCUUGACAUCCACGGAAGUUUUCAGAGAUGAGAAUGUGCCUUCGGGAACCGUGAGACAGGUGCUGCAUGGCUGUCGUCAGCUCGUGUUGUGAAAUGUUGGGUUAAGUCCCGCAACGAGCGCAACCCUUAUCCUUUGUUGCCAGCGGUCCGGCCGGGAACUCAAAGGAGACUGCCAGUGAUAAACUGGAGGAAGGUGGGGAUGACGUCAAGUCAUCAUGGCCCUUACGACCAGGGCUACACACGGGCUACAAUGGCGCAUACAAAGAGAAGCGACCUCGCGAGAGCAAGCGGACCUCAUAAAGUGCGUCGUAGUCCGGAUUGGAGUCUGCAGCUCGACUCCAUGAAGUCGGAAUCGCUAGUAAUCGUGGAUCAGAAUGCCACGGUGAAUACGUUCCCGGGCCU
rnacentral:rRNA from 1 species